rnacentral:rRNA from 1 species
CAGUAGCCGCGGUAAUACGUAGGUGGCAAGCGUUGUCCGGAAUUACUGGGCGUAAAGGGCUCGCAGGCGGUUUCUUAAGUCUGAUGUGAAAGCCCCCGGCUCAACCGGGGAGGGUCAUUGGAAACUGGGAAACUUGAGCGCAGAAGAGGAGAGUGGAAAUCCACGUGUAGCGGUGAAAUGCGUAGAGAUGUGGAGGAGCACCAGUGGCGAAGGCGACUCUCUGGUCUGUAACUGACGCUGAGGAGCGAAAGCGUGGGGAGCGAACAGGAUUAGAUACCCCUGUAGUCCCUGUCUCUUAUAC